CGAACCUGCCCUUUAGACGGGGACAACAUUCCGAAAGGGAUGCUAAUACCGGAUGUGACGCUCCUAUCGCAUGACGGGAGCGUGAAAGAUGGCCUCUACAUGUAAGCUAUCGCUAAAGGAUGGGCCUGCGUCUGAUUAGCUAGUUGGUGAGGUAACGGCCCACCAAGGCGACGAUCGGUAGCCGGACUGAGAGGUUGAACGGCCACAUUGGGACUGAGACACGGCCCAG
rnacentral:rRNA from 1 species